CUCUGCACACAAACCGGUCCAGGCUCUGCAUUCACACUGAGCAGCUCUGCACACACACCGGUCCAGGCUCUGUAUUCACACUGAGCAGCUCUGCACACACACUGGUCCAGGCUCUGCAUUCACACUGAGCAGCUCUGCACACACACCGGUCCAGGCUCUGUAUUCACACUGAGCAGCUCUGCACACACACCGGUCCAGGCUCUGCAUUCACACUGAGCAGCUCUGCACACACACCGGUCCAGGCUCUGCAUUCACACUGAGCAGCUCUGCACACACACCGGUCCAGGCUCUGCAUUCACACUUAGCAGCUCUGCACACACACCGGUCCAGGCUCUGCAUUCACACUGACCGGCUCUGCACACACACCGGUCCAGGCUCUGUAUUCACACUGAGCAGCUCUGCACACACA